rnacentral:tRNA from 1 species
GCCUGGGUGGCGGAACGGGUAGACGCAAGGGACUUAAAAUCCCUCGGUCGCAAGGCCGUGCCGGUUCGAGUCCGGCCCUAGGCACCA